rnacentral:rRNA from 1 species
AUUGAACGCUGGCGGCAGGCCUAACACAUGCAAGUCGAGCGGCAGAAGGGUGCUUGCUCCUUGAUUCAGCGGCGGACGGGUGAGUAAUGCCUAGGAACCUCCCUAGUUGCGGUUGAUAACGUCCUGAAACGGGCGCUAAUACCGCAUUCGCCCAGACGGAGUACGUGGGGGAUCUUCGGAUCUCCCGACAUUAGAUGAGCCUAGGUCGGAUUAGCUAGUUGGUGGGGUAAAGGCCUACCAAGGCGACGAUCCGUAACUGGUCUGAGAGGAUGAUCAGCCACACUGGAACUGAGACACGGUCCAGACUCCUACGGGAGGCAGCAGUGGGGAAUAUUGGACAAUGGGCGCAAGCCUGAUCCAGCCAUGCCGCGUGUGUGAAGAAGGUCUUCGGGUUGUAAAGCACUUUUGGUUGGGAAGAAAAGCAGUAAGUUAAUACCUUGCUGUUUUGACGUUACCAACAGAAUAAGCACCGGCUAACUUCGUG